GAUGAACGCUAGCUACAGGCUUAACACAUGCAAGUCGAGGGGCAGCACGGAGAUAGCUUGCAAACUUUGAUGGCGACCGGCGCACGGGUGAGUAACGCGUAUCCAACCUGCCCCGUACUCGGGUAUAGCCCAGCGAAAGCUGGAUUAAUCCCCGAUGUCACCUUUAUGGUGCAUGCCAUAUUGGUUAAAGUUAUUCGGUACGGGAUGGGGAUGCGUCUGAUUAGGUAGUAGGCGGGGUAACGGCCCACCUAGCCGACGAUCAGUAGGGGUUCUGAGAGGAAGGUCCCCCACACUGGAACUGAGACACGGUCCAGACUCCUACGGGAGGCAGCAGUGAGGAAUAUUGGUCAAUGGGCGAGAGCCUGAACCAGCCAAGUAGCGUGCAGGAUGGCGGCCCUACGGGUUGUAAACUGCUUUUAUGCGGGAAUAAAGAUAUCUACGUGUAGAUAGUUGCAUGUACCGCAUGAAUAAGGACCGGCUAAUUCCGUGCCAGCAGCCGCAGUAACAC
rnacentral:rRNA from 1 species